UACGGAGGGUGCAAGCGUUGCUCGGAAUUAUUGGGCGUAAAGGGUAGGUAGGUGGUCUUAUUUGUCUGGGGUGAAAGCCUUGGGCUUAACUCAAGAAGUGCCCCAGAAACGGUAAGACUAGAGUCCUAGAGAGGGUCGUGGAAUUCCCGGUGUAGCGGUGAAAUGCGUAGAGAUCGGGAGGAACACCAGAGGCGAAGGCGGCGACCUGGAUAGGUACUGACACUCAACUACGAAAGCGUGGGGAGCAAACAGG
rnacentral:rRNA from 1 species